UACGUAGGGUGCGAGCGUUAAUCGGAAUUACUGGGCGUAAAGCGUGCGCAGGCGGUUCGUUAUGUCCGAUGUGAAAGCCCCGAGCUCAACUUGGGAAUGGCAUUGGAAACUGGCGGGCUGGAGUGUGGCAGAGGGGGGUGGAAUUCCACGUGUAGCAGUGAAAUGCGUAGAUAUCUGGAGGAAUACCGGUGGCGAAGGCGGCAUCCUGGACCGGCAUUGACGCUGAGGAGCGAAAGCUAGGGGAGCAAACGGG
rnacentral:rRNA from 1 species